rnacentral:rRNA from 1 species
AGAGACAGCAGUAGCCACGGUAAUACAGAGGGUGCGAGCGUUAAUCGGAUUUACUGGGCGUAAAGCGUGCGUAGGCGGCUUUUUAAGUCGGAUGUGAAAUCCCUGAGCUUAACUUAGGAAUUGCAUUCGAUACUGGGAAGCUAGAGUAUGGGAGAGGAUGGUAGAAUUCCAGGUGUAGCGGUGAAAUGCGUAGAGAUCUGGAGGAAUACCGAUGGCGAAGGCAGCCAUCUGGCCUAAUACUGACGCUGAGGUACGAAAGCAUGGGGAGCAAACAGGAUUAGAUACCCGUGUAGUCCCUGUCUCUUAUAA